ACGGUACCGGAGGAAUAAGCACCGGCUAACUUCGUGCCAGCAGCCGCGGUAAUACGAAGGGUGCAAGCGUUAUCCGGAUUCAUUGGGUUUAAAGGGUGCGUAGGUGGGGCGAUAAGUCAGCGGUGAAAUCCUGCAGCUCAACUGCAGAAUUGCCGUUGAUACUGUCGCUCUUGAGUACGCUUGACGUGGGCGGAAUGUGCCGUGUAGCGGUGAAAUGCUUAGAUAUGGCACAGAACACCGAUAGUGAAGACAGCUCACGAAGGCGAAACUGACACUGAGGCACGAAAGCGUGGGGAUCGAACAGGAUUAGAUACCCUGGUAGUCCACGCCGUAAACGAUGAUCACUCGUGAUCGGCGAUAUACGGCCGGUCACCUAGCGAAAGCGUUAAGUGAUCCACCUGGGGAGUACGGCCGCAAGGCUGAAACUCAAAGGAAUUGACGGGGGCCCGCACAAGCGGUGGAGCAUGUGGUUUAAUUCGAUGAUACGCGAGGAACCUUACCAGGGCUCGAACGCACGACGACAGGGGUGGAAACAUCCUCUUCUUCGGACG
rnacentral:rRNA from 1 species